UACGGGGGGUGCAAGCGUUAUCCGGAUUCACUGGGCUUAAAGGGUGCGUAGGCGGGUUGGCAAGUCAGUGGUGAAAUCUCCGUGCUUAACAUGGAAACUGCCAUUGAUACUACUGAUCUUGAAUUUUCAGGAGGUAAGCGGAAUAUGACAUGUAGCGGUGAAAUGCUUAGAUAUGACAUAGAACACCAAUGGCGAAGGCAGCUUACUACAGGAAGAUUGACACUGAUGCACGAAAGCGUGGGGAGCAAACAGG
rnacentral:rRNA from 1 species